rnacentral:rRNA from 1 species
GAUGAACGCUGGCGGCGUGCCUAAUACAUGCCAGUCGAGCGAACGGACGAUAAGCUUGCUUCUCUGAUGUUAGCGGCGGACGGGUGAGUAACACGUGUAUCCCCUACCUAUAAUACUGGGAUAACUUCGGGAAACCGGCGCUAACCCCGGAUAAUCUUUUGAACCGCAUGGUUCAAAGGUGAAAGACGGUCUUGCUGUCACUUAUAGCUGGAUCCGGGCUGGAUUAGCUAGUUGGUAAGGUAACGGCUUACGACGGCAACGAGGCAUAGCCGACGUGAGAGGGGGGUCGGCGACCCUGGAAGGUAAACACGGUCCAGAGUCCUACGGGAGGCACCAGUAGGGAAUGGUACGCAAUGGGCGAAAGCCUGACGGAGCAACGCCGCGUGAGUGAUGAAGGCGCUCGGAGCGGAAAACUCUGUUAUUAGUGAAGAACAUAUGUGGAAGGAACUGUGCACAUCUUGACGGUACCUAAUCAGAAAGCCACGGCUAACUACGUG